rnacentral:rRNA from 1 species
GGAGUUAGCCGGUGCUUCUUCUGUGAGUGAUGUCCUUCCUGCCGGCUAUUAACCCGCAGGCCUUCUUCCUCACUGAAAGUGCUUUACAACCCGAAGGCCUUCUUCACACACGCGGCAUGGCUGGAUCAGGGUUGCCCCCAUUGUCCAAUAUUCCCCACUGCUGCCUCCCGUAGGAGUCUGGGCCGUGUCUCAGUCCCAGUGUGGCUGAUCAUCCUCUCAGACCAGCUACGGAUCGUCGCCUUGGUGAGCCGUUACCUCACCAACCAGCUAAUCCGACAUAGGCUCAUCCGAUAGCGCGAGGCCCGAAGGUCCCCCGGCUUUCCCCCGUAGGGCGUAUGCGGUAUUAGCCUGGGUUUUCCCCAGGUUAUCCCCCGACUACCGGGCAGAUUCCUAUGCAUUACUCACCCGUCCGCCGCUCGCCACCAGGGAGCAAGCUCCCCGUGCUGCCGCUCGACUUGCAUGUGUUAGGCCUGCCGCCAGCGUUCAAUCUGAGCCAUAAUCAAACUCUGA